GACGAACGCUGGCGGCGUGCCUAAUACAUGCAAGUAGAACGCUGAAGCGAGGAGCUUGCUCUUCUUGGAUGAGUUGCGAACGGGUGAGUAACGCGUAGGUAACCUGCCUUGUAGCGGGGGAUAACUAUUGGAAACGAUAGCUAAUACCGCAUAACAAUGGAUGACACAUGUCAUUUAUUUGAAAGGGGCAAUUGCUCCACUACAAGAUGGACCUGCGUUGUAUUAGCUAGUAGGUGAGGUAACGGCUCACCUAGGCGACGAUACAUAGCCGACCUGAGAGGGUGAUCGGCCACACUGGGACUGAGACACGGCCCAGACUCCUACGGGAGGCAGCAGUAGGGAAUCUUCGGCAAUGGGGGCAACCCUGACCGAGCAACGCCGCGUGAGUGAAGAAGGUUUUCGGAUCGUAAAGCUCUGUUGUAAGUCAAGAACGAGUGUGAGAGUGGAAAGUUCACACUGUGACGGUAGCUUACCAGAGAGGGACGGCUAACUACGUG
rnacentral:rRNA from 1 species